UCGCGGACCGCGAUGGCGGCGACGAUCUUCGUGAUCGUGUGGAGCUUCGUCGGGUUCUACAUGGUGCUGUUCAUCGCCGGCAUCCGCGGU
rnacentral:tRNA from 1 species